GACGAACCGUCCAAACGUUAUUCGGAAUCACUGGGCUUAAAGGGUGCGUAGGCGGCGCGGAAAGUUGGGUGUGAAAUCCCUCGGCUCAACCGAGGAACUGCGCCCAAAACUACCGUGCUCGAGGGAGAUAGAGGUGAGCGGAACUUAGGGUGGAGCGGUGAAAUGCGUUGAUAUCCUAAGGAACACCGGUGGCGAAAGCGGCUCACUGGAUCUCUUCUGACGCUGAUGCACGAAAGCUAGGGUAGCGAACGGG
rnacentral:rRNA from 1 species